rfam:Streptomyces sp. AVP053T2 APS67_contig000033, whole genome shotgun sequence.
GAAGGUAGGUCCUUCGGCAUCGGCAUGCAGGUGCAGGUGUCAAACCACCAUGAGCUGCUGCGGUGAAUGAGCCGUGGUGGUGAGCGUCAUGGAAAAGCCGUACUAAAUAUGGCAGGU